rnacentral:rRNA from 1 species
ACAGGGAUUCCCCUAGUAACGGCGAGUGAAGCGGGAACAGCUCAAAUUUGAAAUCUGGCCCUCGGGUCCGAGUUGUAAUUUGUAGAGGAUGCUUUUGGUGCGGUGCCUUCCGAGUUCCCUGGAACGGGACGCCUUAGAGGGUGAGAGCCCCGUACGGUUGGACGCCUAGCCUCUGUAAAGCUCCUUCGACGAGUCGAGUAGUUUGGGAAUGCUGCUCUAAAUGGGAGGUAUAUUUCUUCUAAAGCUAAAUACUGGCCAGAGACCGAUAGCGCACAAGUAGAGUGAUCGAAAGAUGAAAAGCACUUUGAAAAGAGGGUUAAAUAGCACGUGAAAUUGUUGAAAGGGAAGCGUUUAUCACCAGACUUUUUCUAGGGGGAUCAUCCGGUGUUCUCACCGGUGCACUUCCCCUGGUUGAGGCCAGCAUCGGUUUUCGGAGGGGGAUAAAAGCUUCGGGAAUGUGACUCCCUCGGGAGUGUUAUAGCCCGUUGCAUAAUACCCUUCUGGGGACCGAGGUUCGCGCAUCUGCAAGGAUGCUGGCAUAAUGGUGAUCAACGACCCGUCUUGAAACACGGACCAAGGAGUCGAACAUUUAUGCGAGUGUUUGGGUGUCAAACCCUCACGCGUAAUGAAAGUGAACGGAGGUGAGAGCCCUUACGGGUGCAUCAUCGACCGAUCCUGAUGUCUUCGGAUGGAUUUGAGUAAGAGCAUAACUGUUCGGACCCGAAAGAUGGUGAACUAUGCGUGGAUAGGGUGAAGCCAGGAGAAAUCCUGGUGGAGGCUCGCAGCGGUUCUGACGUGCAAAUCGAUCGUCAAAUCUGCGCAUGGGGGCGAAAGACUAAUCGA